GAUGAACGCUGGCGGCGUGCCUAAUACAUGCAAGUCGAGCGAAUGGAUUAAGAGCUUGCUCUUAUGAAGUUAGCGGCGGACGGGUGAGUAACACGUGGGUAACCUGCCCAUAAGACUGGGAUAACUCCGGGAAACCGGGGCUAAUACCGGAUAACAUUUUGAACCGCAUGGUUCGAAAUUGAAAGGCGGCUUCGGCUGUCACUUAUGGAUGGACCCGCGUCGCAUUAGCUAGUUGGUGAGGUGACGGCUCACCAAGGCAACGAUGCGUAGCCGACCUGAGAGGGUGAUCGGCAAGACUGGGACUGAGACGCGGCCCAGACUCCUACGGGAGGCAGCAGUAGGGAAUCUUCCGCAAUGGACGAAAGUCUGACGGAGCAACGCCGCGUGAGUGAUGAAGGCUUUCGGGUCGUAAAACUCUGUUGUUAGGGAAGAACAAGUGCUAGUUGAAUAAGCUGGCACCUUGACGGUACCUAACCAGAAAGCCACGGCUAACUACGUGCCAGCCGCCGCGGUAA
rnacentral:rRNA from 1 species